UUAGAGUUUGAUCCUGGCUCAGGAUGAACGCUAGCGGCAGGCUUAAUACAUGCAAGUCGUGGGGCAGCGCAGUGUAGCAAUACAUGGGCGGCGACCGGCAAACGGGUGCGGAACACGUACGCAAUCUACCCAGAACUGGGGCAUAGCCCGGGGAAACCCGGAUUAAUACCCCGUAACAUAAUGAAGUGGCAUCACUUUAUUAUAAAAGCUCCGGCGGUUUUGGAUGAGCGUGCGGCCCAUUAGGUAGUUGGCGGGGUAAUGGCCCACCAAGCCUGCGAUGGGUAACUGGUGUGAGAGCACGACCAGUCACACGGGCACUGAGACACGGGCCCGACUCCUACGGGAGGCAGCAGUAAGGAAUAUUGGUCAAUGGACGCAAGUCUGAACCAGCCAUGCCGCGUGGAGGAUGAAGGCCCUCUGGGUUGUAAACUUCUUUUAUGGGGGACGAAACCUCUUUUUCUAAAGAGACUGACGGUACCCCAGGAAUAAGCACCGGCUAACUCCGUGCCAGCAGCCGCGGUAAUACGGAGGGUGCAAGCGUUAUCCGGGAUUCACUGGGUUUAAAGGGGUGCGUAGGCGGGCAGGUAAGUCAGUGGUGAAAUCUCCGGGCUUAACUCGGAAACUGCCGUUGAUACUAUCUGUCUUGAAUUCUGUGGAGGUGAGCGGAAUAUGUCAUGUAGCGGUGAAAUGCUUAGA
rnacentral:rRNA from 1 species